ACACAGACCUCCUCUGAUUCAGGGCAGUUGGACAAAACCACACAGGUGACAAGGCCACAAUCACAGAGCGUGCAGAAUACAUCAGAGGAUCAAGACCAGAGCUCGAUGACAGGUUUUACUGGAUUGGACCAAGUCAACCUUUCUGAACCCUCCCUUCAGAACUUGG